AUUGGACGCUGGCGGCAGGCCUAACACAUGCAAGUCGAACGGUAACAGGAAGAAGCUUGCUUCUUUGCUGACGAGUGGCGGACGGGUGAGUAAUGUCUGGGAAACUGCCUGAUGGAGGGGGAUAACUACUGGAAACGGUAGCUAAUACCGCAUAACGUCGCAAGACCAAAGAGGGGGACCUUCGGGCCUCUUGCCAUCGGAUGUGCCCAGAUGGGAUUAGCUAGUAGGUGGGGUAACGGCUCACCUAGGCGACGAUCCCUAGCUGGUCUGAGAGGAUGACCAGCCACACUGGAACUGAGACACGGUCCAGACUCCUACGGGAGGCAGCAGCGGGGAAUAUUGCACAAAGGGCGCAAGCCUGAUGCAGCCAUGCCGCGUGUAUGAAGAAGGCCUUCGGGUUGUAAAGUACUUUCAGCGGGGAGGAAGGGAGUAAAGUUAAUACCUUUACUCAUUGACGUUACCCGCAGAAGAAGCACCGGCUAACUCCGUG
rnacentral:rRNA from 1 species